rnacentral:rRNA from 1 species
GAUGAACGCUGGCGGCGUGCCUAAUACAUGCAAGUAGAACGCUGAAGAGAGGAGCUUGCUCUUCUUGGAUGAGUUGCGAACGGGUGAGUAACGCGUAGGUAACCUGCCUGGUAGCGGGGGAUAACUAUUGGAAACGAUAGCUAAUACCGCAUGAAAUGGAUUAUCGCAUGAUAAUCGAUUGAAAGGUGCAAAUGCAUCACUACCAGAUGGACCUGCGUUGGAUUAGCUAGUUGGUGGGGUAACGGCUCACCAAGGCAACGAUACAUAGCCGACCUGAGAGGGGGAUCGGCCACACUGGGACUGUGACACGGCCCAGGCUCCUACGGGGGGCAGCAGUAGGGAAUCUUCGGCAAUGGACGGAAGUCUGACCGAGCAACGCCGCGUGAGUGAAGAAGGUUUUCGGAUCGUAAAGCUCUGUUGUAAGAGAAGAACGAGUGUGAGAGUGGAAAGUUCACACUGUGACGGUAUCUUACCAGAAAGGGACGGCUAACUACGUGCCAGCCGCCGCGGUAA